GAUGAAGAACGCAGCGAACUGCGAUAAGUAAUGUGUAUUGCAGAAUUCAGUGAAUCAUCGAGUCUUUGAACGCACAUUGCGCCCCCUGGCAUUCCGGGGGGCAUGCCUGUCCGAGCGUCAUUGCUGCCCUUCAAGCCCGGCUUGUGUGUUGGGUCGUCGUCCCCCCCGGGGGACGGGCCCGAAAGGCAGCGGCGGCACCGCGUCCGGUCCUCGAGCGUAUGGGGCUUUGUCACCCGCUCGAUUAGGGCCGGCCGGGCGCCAGCCGGCGUCUCCAACCUUCUAUUUUACCAGGUUGACCUCGGAUCAGGUAGGGAUACCCGCUGAACUUAAGCAUAUCAAUAAGCGGAGGA
rnacentral:misc_RNA from 1 species